rnacentral:rRNA from 1 species
UACGGAGGGUGCUAGCGUUGUUCGGAAUUACUGGGCGUAAAGGGCGCGUAGGCGGCCGUUUGCGUCGGAUGUGAAAGCCCGGGGCUCAACCUCGGAACGGCAUUCGAUACGGGACGGCUGGAGACCGGGAGAGGAGAGUGGAAUAGCCAGUGUAGAGGUGAAAUUCGUAGAUAUUGGCUGGAACACCGGUGGCGAAAGCGGCUCUCUGGCCCGGUUCUGACGCUGAGGCGCGAAAGCGUGGGAAGCAAACAGG